UACGAAGGGGGCUAGCGUUGCUCGGAAUCACUGGGCGUAAAGCGCACGUAGGCGGACUCUUAAGUCGGUGGUGAAAUCCUGGAGCUCAACUCCAGAACUGCCUUCGAUACUGGGAGUCUUGAGUUCGGGAGAGGUGAGUGGAACUGCGAGUGUAGAGGUGAAAUUCGUAGAUAUUCGCAAGAACACCAGUGGCGAAGGCGGCUCACUGGCCCGAUACUGACGCUGAGGUGCGAAAGCGUGGGGAGCAAACAGG
rnacentral:rRNA from 1 species